rnacentral:tRNA from 1 species
AGCUUCGGGGUGUUAUCACGCCAGAUUGCAAAUCUGGAGAGGUAGGCGAGUAGCCUGCCGGGGCUU